UUAAGCGACUAAGCGUACACGGUGGAUGCCCUGGCAGUCAGAGGCGAUGAAGGACGUGCUAAUCUGCGAUAAGCGUCGGUAAGGUGAUAUGAACCGUUAUAACCGGCGAUUUCCGAAUGGGGAAACCCAGUGUGAUUCGUCACACUAUCAUUAACUGAAUCCAUAGGUUAAUGAGGCGAACCGGGGGAACUGAAACAUCUAAGUACCCCGAGGAAAAGAAAUCAACCGAGAUUCCCCCAGUAGCGGCGAGCGAACGGGGAGGAGCCCAGAGCCUGAAUCAGUGUGUGUGUUAGUGGAAGCGUCUGGAAAGGCGCGCGAUACAGGGUGACAGCCCCGUACACAAAAAUGCACAUGCUGUGAGCUCGAUGAGUAGGGCGGGACACGUGGUAUCCUGUCUGAAUAUGGGGGGACCAUCCUCCAAGGCUAAAUACUCCUGACUGACCGAUAGUGAACCAGUACCGUGAGGGAAAGGCGAAAAGAACCCCGGCGAGGGGAGUGAAAAAGAACCUGAAACCGUGUACGUACAAGCAGUGGGAGCACGCUUAGGCGUGUGACUGCGUACCUUUUGUAUAAUGGGUCAGCGACUUAUAUUCUGUAGCAAGGUUAACCGAAUAGGGGAGCCGAAGGGAAACCGAGUCUUAACUGGGCGUUAAGUUGCAGGGUAUAGACCCGAAACCCGGUGAUCUAGCCAUGGGCAGGUUGAAGGUUGGGUAACACUAACUGGAGGACCGAACCGACUAAUGUUGAAAAAUUAGCGGAUGACUUGUGGCUGGGGGGUGAAAGGCCAAUCAAACCGGGAGAUAGCUGGUUCUCCCCGAAAGCUAUUUAGGUAGCGCCUCGUGAAUUCAUCUCCGGGGGUAGAGCACUGUUUCGGCAAGGGGGUCAUCCCGACUUACCAACCCGAUGCAAACUGCGAAUACCGGAGAAUGUUAUCACGGGAGACACACGGCGGGUGCUAACGUCCGUCGUGAAGAGGGAAACAACCCAGACCGCCAGCUAAGGUCCCAAAGUCAUGGUUAAGUGGGAAACGAUGUGGGAAGGCCCAGACAGCCAGGAUGUUGGCUUAGAAGCAGCCAUCAUUUAAAGAAAGCGUAAUAGCUCACUGGUCGAGUCGGCCUGCGCGGAAGAUGUAACGGGGCUAAACCAUGCACCGAAGCUGCGGCAGCGACGCUGAUGCGUUGUUGGGUAGGGGAGCGUUCUGUAAGCCUGUGAAGGUGUGCUGUGAGGCAUGCUGGAGGUAUCAGAAGUGCGAAUGCUGACAUAAGUAACGAUAAAGCGGGUGAAAAGCCCGCUCGCCGGAAGACCAAGGGUUCCUGUCCAACGUUAAUCGGGGCAGGGUGAGUCGACCCCUAAGGCGAGGCCGAAAGGCGUAGUCGAUGGGAAACAGGUUAAUAUUCCUGUACUUGGUGUUACUGCGAAGGGGGGACGGAGAAGGCUAUGUUGGCCGGGCGACGGUUGUCCCGGUUUAAGCGUGUAGGCUGGUUUUCCAGGCAAAUCCGGAAAAUCAAGGCUGAGGCGUGAUGACGAGGCACUACGGUGCUGAAGCAACAAAUGCCCUGCUUCCAGGAAAAGCCUCUAAGCAUCAGGUAACAUCAAAUCGUACCCCAAACCGACACAGGUGGUCAGGUAGAGAAUACCAAGGCGCUUGAGAGAACUCGGGUGAAGGAACUAGGCAAAAUGGUGCCGUAACUUCGGGAGAAGGCACGCUGAUAUGUAGGUGAAGUCCCUCGCGGAUGGAGCUGAAAUCAGUCGAAGAUACCAGCUGGCUGCAACUGUUUAUUAAAAACACAGCACUGUGCAAACACGAAAGUGGACGUAUACGGUGUGACGCCUGCCCGGUGCCGGAAGGUUAAUUGAUGGGGUCAGCGCAAGCGAAGCUCUUGAUCGAAGCCCCGGUAAACGGCGGCCGUAACUAUAACGGUCCUAAGGUAGCGAAAUUCCUUGUCGGGUAAGUUCCGACCUGCACGAAUGGCGUAAUGAUGGCCAGGCUGUCUCCACCCGAGACUCAGUGAAAUUGAACUCGCUGUGAAGAUGCAGUGUACCCGCGGCAAGACGGAAAGACCCCGUGAACCUUUACUAUAGCUUGACACUGAACAUUGAGCCUUGAUGUGUAGGAUAGGUGGGAGGCUUAGAAGUGUGGACGCCAGUCUGCAUGGAGCCGACCUUGAAAUACCACCCUUUAAUGUUUGAUGUUCUAACGUUGACCCGUAAUCCGGGUUGCGGACAGUGUCUGGUGGGUAGUUUGACUGGGGCGGUCUCCUCCUAAAGAGUAACGGAGGAGCACGAAGGUUGGCUAAUCCUGGUCGGACAUCAGGAGGUUAGUGCAAUGGCAUAAGCCAGCUUGACUGCGAGCGUGACGGCGCGAGCAGGUGCGAAAGCAGGUCAUAGUGAUCCGGUGGUUCUGAAUGGAAGGGCCAUCGCUCAACGGAUAAAAGGUACUCCGGGGAUAACAGGCUGAUACCGCCCAAGAGUUCAUAUCGACGGCGGUGUUUGGCACCUCGAUGUCGGCUCAUCACAUCCUGGGGCUGAAGUAGGUCCCAAGGGUAUGGCUGUUCGCCAUUUAAAGUGGUACGCGAGCUGGGUUUAGAACGUCGUGAGACAGUUCGGUCCCUAUCUGCCGUGGGCGCUGGAGAACUGAGGGGGGCUGCUCCUAGUACGAGAGGACCGGAGUGGACGCAUCACUGGUGUUCGGGUUGUCAUGCCAAUGGCACUGCCCGGUAGCUAAAUGCGGAAGAGAUAAGUGCUGAAAGCAUCUAAGCACGAAACUUGCCCCGAGAUGAGUUCUCCCUGACCCUUUAAGGGUCCUGAAGGAACGUUGAAGACGACGACGUUGAUAGGCCGGGUGUGUAAGCGCAGCGAUGCGUUGAGCUAACCGGUACUAAUGAACCGUGAGGCUUAACCUU
rnacentral:rRNA from 1 species